rnacentral:lncRNA from 1 species
GGGGAACUGAGGUCAGGACAUAUUGGACCUGGGAAGGGGAGAGGGGAACUGAGGUCAGGACAUAUUGGACCUGGGAAGGGGAGAGGGGAACUGAGGUCAGGACAUAUUGGACCUGGGAAGGGGAGAGUGGGGGAGCUGAGUUUUCCCUCCAUCUUGCUGCUGCUUCACUGGAUGUAAAGGGAGAGACACGCCUGCCUGUCGGUCUGAGAGAACAGACUUUACCGCCCAGAGUAGGAAUGCUGACUGACAGACAUUAUGAUUUGUGGUCCAGGUGUACAUGACCGUGUUGUGUUGGGGUUGAGUAGCGGUUUAGUUGUGUGGACAUUUGUCCCGUAUAGCCCUGAUGCUGCUCCACUCAUGAAAUCAGAAUUACUCACAGAAUCAGUUAUGGCUGGAAUUCAAUCUGAUCGCGGGUUAUAGGCACUGCAGCUCUGAAAUGUAAUGUUCUCAUUCGCGGAGAUCCCUUUCAUGAUAAACGCUGCAUAUGUCUGCUCAAUCGGAAGUUGCCUUUAAAAAACCUCAAUGCCUAUAACCCACAAUACGAUAGAAUUCAGCCUUAGUCUGUGUCAGACCAGGAGGAAGUUUGCCCAUACAGAUACAUACAUACAGAUACAUACAGACAGAUACAUACAUACAGAUACAUACAGACAGAUACAUAUAUACAGAUACAUACAUACAGAUACAUACAUACAGAUACAUACAGACAGAUACAUAUAUACAGAUACAUAUAUACAGAUACAUACAUACAGAUACAUAUAUACAGAUAGAUACAUACAGACAGAUAGAUAUAUACAGAUACAUACAUACAGAUAGAUACAUACAGAUAGAUACAUACAUACAGAUACAUAUAUACAGAUACAUACAGACAGAUACAUAUAUACAGAUACAUACAUACAGAUACAUACAUACAGAUACAUACAUACAGAUACAUAUAUACAGAUACAUACAUACAGAUACAUACAUACAGAUACAUACAGACAGAUACAUACAUACAGAUACAUACAUACAGAUACAUAUAUACAGAUACAUAUAUACAGAUACAUACAGACAGAUACAUAUAUACAGAUACAUACAUACAGACAGAUACAUACAGACAGAUACAUAUAUACAGAUACAUACAUACAGAUACAUGUAUACAGAUAGAUACAUACAGACAGAUAGAUAUAUACAGAUACAUACAUACAGAUAGAUACAUACAGAUAGAUACAUACAGAUAGAUACAUACAUACAGAUACAUAUAUACAGAUACAUACAGACAGAUACAUACAUACAGAUACAUACAUACAGAUACAUACAUACAGAUAGAUACAUACAGAUACAUAUAUACAGAUAGAUACAUAUAUACAGAUACAUACAUACAGAUACAUACAUACAGAUAGAUACAUACAGAUACAUACAUACAGAUACAUACAUACAGACAGAUACAUACAUACAGAUACAUAUAUACAGAUACAUACAGACAGAUACAUAUAUACAGAUACAUACAUACAGAUACAUACAUACAGAUACAUACAGACAGAUACAUAUAUACAGAUAGAUACAUAUAUACAGAUACAUACAUACAGAUACAUAUAUACAGAUAGAUACAUACAGACAGAUACAUAUAUACAGAUACAUACAUACAGAUACAUACAUACAGAUACAUACAUACAGAUAGAUACAUACAGACACAUACAUACAUACAGAUAGAUACAUACAGAUACAUAUAUACAGAUACAUACAUACAGAUAGAUACAUACAGAUAGAUACAUACAGACAGAUACAUACAGACAGAUACAUACAGUACAUACAGAUACAUACAGACAGAUACAUACAGUACAUACAGAUACAUACAGACAGAUACAUACAGACAGAUGCGUACAUACAGACAGAUAGAGUACAUACAGAUACAUAAAGACAGAUACAUACAGACAGAUACAGUACAUACAGAUGCAUACAUACAGAUACAUACAGACAGAUACAUACAUACAGAUACAUACUUACAGAUACAUACAGUACAUACAGAUACAUAGAUACAUACAGUACAUACAGAUACAUACAGACAGAUACAUACAGUACAUACAGAUGUAUACAUUCAGAUGUUUACAGACAGAUACAUACAGACAGAUACAUACAUACAUAUACAUACUUACAGAUACAUACAGUACAUACAUAUACAUACAUACAGACAGAUACAUACAAUACAUACAGACAGAUACAGUACAUACAGAUGCAUACAUACAGAUACAUACAGACAGAUACAUACAAUACAUACAGACAGGUACAUACAGAUACAUACAGACAGAUACAUACAGUACAUACAGAUACAUACAGACAGAUGCAUACAUACAGAUACAUACAGACAGAUACAGUACAUACAGACGCAUACAUACAGAUACAUAAAGACAGAUACAUACAGACAGAUACAGUACAUACAGAUGUAUACAUACAGAUACAUACAGACAGAUACAUACAUACAGAUACAUACUUACAGAUACAUACAGUACAUACAGACAGAUACAUACAGACAGAUACAUACAGUACAUACAGAUGUAUACAUACAGAUGUUUACAGACAGAUACAUAGAGACAGAUACAGUACAUACAGACGCAUACGUAAAGAUAGAUACAUACAUACAGAUACAUACAGACAGAUACAUACAGACAGACAGAUACAGUACAUACAGAUACAUACAGACAGAUACAUACAGACAGGGCUGGGUGGAGCAGGGAUGCUAUGCAAGAUGACUUAAGCGCACACACCACAUACCACACCACAUACCACACCACACGCCACAUACCACGCCACAUACCACACCACACACCACACCACAUAAAAUACCACACCACACCACACACCACACCACAUACCAGACCACAUACCACGCCACACCACACCACAUACCACACCACAUAAAAUACCACAUACCACACCACAUACAAUACCACACCACAUACCACAUACCAUACCACACCACAUACCACAUACCAUACCACACCACAUACCAUCACACCACAUACCACACCACAUACCACACACCAUACCACAUCACAUACCACACCACAUACCACGCCACACCACAUACCACAUACCACACCACAUAAAAUACCACAUACCACACCACAUACAAUACCACACCACAUACCACACCACAUACCACACCACAUACCACGCCACACCACAUACCACAUACCACACCACAUAAAAUACCACACCACAUACAAUACCACACCACAUACCACAUACCACACCACAUACCACACCACAUACAAUACCACACCACAUACCACAUACCACACCACAUACCACAUACCACACCACAUAACAUACCACAUAACAUACCACACCACACCACAUACCACAGCACAUACCACGCCACACCACACCACACACCACGUACCACACCACAUACCACGCCACACCACACCACAUAAAAUACCACAUACCACACCACAUACAAUACCACACCACAUACCACAUACCAUACCACACCAUACCACACCACAUACCACACCACAUACAAUACCACACCACAUACCACAUCACAUACCACAUCACAUACCACACCACAUACCACACCACACCACAUACCAUACCACACCACAUACCACACCACAUACCAUACCACACCAUACCACACUACAUACCACACCACACCACAUACCAUACCACACCACAUACCAUACCACACAACAUACCACACCACAUACCACAUACCAUACCACACCACAUACCACACCACAUACCACACCACACCACAUACCACACAAUAUACCACCGUCCCUACACCUUACCACAAACAACAAAGCAUACACACACACACAUCACUGUACCUACACAUUACCACACAACACACACACAAGCAUACACACACACACAUCACACCACACACACCGCACCAUAUGCCACACAGCGUACCAUACACUACACACAGUCUCCCCAGGUCACUGCCAGGGCACAGGGACUGACCUAUGUGUGGCUACCAUGUACAACCACCAUAAGCCAAAGCUUUCUAUAGUAACAUGCUAUUCAUUAUAGAAACAUAGAUCUGUAAAGACUUAUACACUGAAGAAGACUAUACUGCGUAUGAAUGUAUGUUAAAAUGAAAUAUAUGCUGUGUCAAAGAUUAUACUCUUGUUUGUCAUAUUUAUUUUGUACAUGUCUCUUUACGACGUAAGAAAACAACUCAGGGUUGCAUGUUCAUCUCAUGCUUUCUGUGUGUUUCUGUGUGUUUCUGUGUGUUUCUGUGUGUUUCUGUGUUUCUGUGUGUUUCUGUGUGUUUCUGUGUGUUUGUUUAUGUGUGGGUGAUGGCUUGAUAUCACUCAUUAAAACAACCAUUAUUGCAGCUGACUGGGUACCAACGUAAAAUGUUUUAAAUAUCCUGUCAAUAUCCUGAGUCCAGCUAGUUGUGCCCUGAAGCCAAAUCCAGUCCUGAUUCCUUCCAGCUUAUUUAAUAAUGGGGGCGUGCUACCAAUUCGGUGCCUUUUGAGAAGUGUA